UAAUGUAUGGGGAUCUGCCCGAUAGAGGGGGGUAACUACUGGAAACGGUGGCUAAUACCGCAUAAUGUCUACGGACCAAAGCAGGGGCUCUUCGGACCUUGCACUAUCGGAUGAACCCAUAUGGGAUUAGCUAGUAGGUGGGGUAAAGGCUCACCUAGGCGCGAUCUCUAGCUGGUCUGAGAGGAUGAUCAGCCACACUGGGACUGAGACACGGCCCAG
rnacentral:rRNA from 1 species